rnacentral:lncRNA from 1 species
CUUUUUGCCAUUUCUUGGGCCGCUCUCACAGCAUAUGGAGACAAAAAUAAAUAAAUAAACGGAUGAAUAUGAAAGAUGAAAAUAACAAUACCUACAUUGUAGAGCAGUUGUGAGGAUUAAAUGAGAAAACAUACAGAAAGUAGUUAGCUUGGUCCUCAAUAUACAGUGCACAAUAAAGGGUAGCCAUUGUGGAUGGAAUCAGCUCCUAAGUAUAAGCCCCUUUGCUUUCCAAUGGACAGGACCCAGGUGCUCCAGCCUCUCCUAGUUUGGGUGAGACGAAUCUUUCUCCAAGGCUGGAGUGAAGGUAGAGGGCAGCCACAGAGGAAUUCCUGGCCUACUUUGUGCAAUUUUGGGCUCAGGCAAGGCCCCAGACAGUAAGUGAUACAAAGAGCACUCCAAGCCAGCUGCAGAUAAUGAGGCCCGGGGGACAGGCUGCCUGGGGUGGCUUUCUCCAGCAAGGACUGCUCGACCUAAAGGCCCAGGGCUUUCACUCAGCCUCUGGCAGUGCUCAUGGCUCAGGCCUCUGAAAGUUCCCAGGCAUGUUUCCUGUUCCAAAAGAAAAAGACAGAAAGGAAGGAAGGCAGGAAGGAAGAAAAGAAAAAAGGGAAGGCAACCUCUGACCUCCCAGGCUGGAGGGAAGCUCCUCUCCAAUACCCAACUGGAAAGUCAAAGAGAGUUAAGACAAUGCUUACUCACAUAACUCAAAGGCCCAUGUGUCCAAGCCAGUCCUCUAGCUCCUGCUAUCAUGAUUCUUAGGGUCCUCACAGGUCUCCCUGCAUCCAUACACUCCCCUCUAGCCCAUCUUCCACACAGCCCCGAGGGUGAGCAGCACACGCAUUGAGUCUCUCCUCCCCAGCCUACAGUCCAUUCAGUGGAGGGUCCCUAUUGCCUUCCAGAUAAAGUCCAAAUUCCUUGGUAUGGUGUUCAAGGCCCUCUUCAGAACCUUUCCAUCCUCUCACCCUGGCCCAUGUACUCUGCCUGCCAUUUCUGGAAUACACCAGUUUGCUCACACUUACAGGCAUCUGUGUAUGUUCUUCCCUCUGCCUGGAGUACCCCAAUCACUCAGCAAUGAAAUGGCGAAGCCAGGACUCCAGGCCUCUCCUUUUGAUUCUGAGUUCCACACUCCUUGGAUAGGAAGGGCUUGAGAACUCCAGAACAGCCCAGUUCCAUGGUGCUAAAAUGUCAGGGAAGACCGUUUCCAGUUCUCACACUCCAGAUGCUCUGGAUUUGCCCUCAUUAUAAAUCACCAUGUGACAUUGUGAGUACCUCAUUGGUCGGUAGUUACCCAAAUAAAGUCAGCACAGGCUACGAUCUGCAUCUCCAAGGGUCUGAAUGGCUCAGCUGUAAGCAGGAAGACAAGCUGACAUUUUCAAUUAACCUUGUUCUUACCCUGAGUCACUGUGCACUGCCUGACACACCCUCAUGGGACUGCAGAGGCAGGGGUCCAGGAGUGAGGGCAGACCAUGGCACCCCAAGUGCAAGGAAGCCCCUCUCCAACACCCAUUUGGUAAGACAUUGAGAAUUAAGACAAAGCUGCUCCACCCAACACAAAAAUUCUAGUCCCGGCUAGCCCUCUGGUCCCUACCACUCUGCUCACAGGAACCUCUCUGCAGCCUCAGCUCCCUCUGACAUAUUCUGGGGCACUUGGGCUAGGGACCUCUCUGUUUGCCAGGAGCAGGGCCUCUGAUGGCCUCCUGGUCAUGUGGCCAAAAUCCUCACUCCCUUCCAUCAAUAACAGCUCCACACAUCCAAACAGGUUUUGAAUUGCAAUACAUGUCAGGCACACAAGAGUAAAUACGUACACAGCUUAUCUCUUUUCCCAGCCCAACAAACUCUACUUUUGCAUGCUAAAUCUCCUAUUCAAGGCACUACCUGUAAAUUCAAUAAGAUGUCUCUGAUAAGAGCAGAAUAUUCAAUACAAAUACAAAACCUUUUUUGCUGAU